UUCCACUCGCUUCUUCUUCUCUGUUGCCUGGGUUUUGGUGUGGCUGUGUGGUUUUCCAUCAUGCCCUUCUUUCUUCUCCCUUCGUUAACCAGCUGGCCUGGUCUUUGGGUUUUAUGACCUUAAAUGCACUGUCUAUGCAUCUCCUCUUCGUUGGCUCUACGAUCUCUAGGGUUUUGCAUUUUUUUUGCUGGUAAGCUCGUUUGGGACUGUCUAAACCAAAGAUUUGACAGAUUCUUCGCCAUCUUUGCUUUCACCCAGCCCUCUUUCUAUCUGCUUUCGGUCGUUCACAGCCGGGGUCCAACCAGAUAAGUGAAUUUGAACUGUUUAUAGUUUGUUUUGCAAUGAUUAAACUACUUCAGUGGCUGUCUUCUCAUGAAAUUGCUUGUCGCGUUAUCUGCGUUACUGAGUUGAGGCCGGGUUCUUUAUCAUUUCUUUUUCACUUCAGUUGUCUCUUCAAAGUGCUCUGGGUUCUUCAACUUGUUGCUUGGUAUUUGUUUUCCAACUGAUUUGUGUAUUCGAUGGCUUUUGUUUGUUGCGUUUUACUGUGUUUUGUAGGACCAAAUUCUCUUUUUAUUUUGCUUUGUCUAUUUGUUAGGUUUCGCUUCCAUUCAGGUGCGCUUUCACCCUGCUUUGAUCACCUCUUAGACCUGUUCCUUAUUUGUUUCUUUCAAUUUUAGAGCUGAUUCAAGUUUCUUUCCUCUCCUUUCUGAAUCUGAACUUAAACUUUCUUGAGUGGUGUCUUUUACCCUGUUGUUAGAUGUUUUAGCCGGUUGAACCAGACCUUGGCAGUGUAUGGGAUUGUUUCCAGUUGCUAUAGGUUAAUAUAUGUGCCUUUUUUGUGCACAAUUCAUUUCACGAUUGGUUAUUGAUUUUGAAUUUCAUUUGGUCAUUGAUGAUUUUGCAGGAAAAUUUAUUCUGGUAGGGUUCAGAUAUCCAUUUUUUUUAUGUCAUGGCAGAUGCUGAGGUUGAAAGACAGGUGAAAGUACUUAUAUCUGUAUAUAUUGAUGUAUGUUUACAAGUGAGCUAGAAGAAAUAUUAGAGAUGAUUGUUAUGGAUGAGCUUCUAAAGAUCACAGUCCCACAAUUUCAGCAAAUAAGAUGCUGCCUCAAUAGCUCCCAUUCUCAGAUUCAGUGCAAAUAUUCCAUCCCAGUUGAAGAAGUUGAUUGGCACAAGGCAAAUUAAUUUAUCAGCCAAGAUUGAAAGAAAAGAACCUGAAGGAUGGCCGAGCUGGACUGUCAAAAAAACAUUUGACAUGAAUUCCAUCUUGGAAAGGAAAGAUGCUUGCUCGCCAAGACCUGUUAGCAUGAAAUUAUCUUAUCUGUAUCUAAAUAAAUAGGUCAUGAUAAUUCUUGAAUCUCGAAAACGAAUAAUUUUAUUGUGACUGUUGCGAACAUCAUAGUCAAUAAUGAUGUCAAUCUCGAAACUCUAUUUUAUUUUUUA